AUAAAUUCCCAUCAGACUCGAGCAUUAGUCAUUCCCACAGACUGAAGCUGCGCUAUCAAGCGUCAUGCCGGGGAUCACACGUCGGCCCAGCGCCGCCGGAGGGAAGAGACUCACUCAGCACCAGACUGUCUUUGUUUAGCUCUUACAGACAAUGUGGUGUUCAAGCAUGGACGAGAUAAUCAAGGAGGCGCUCUGACGAGGCUGCAGAUGAGAAAAUCAUAAGGGAGGCCAAACAAAGUAGUUUCACAACGAAACACACAGCGUCACACAUGGUGGGCUUGAGAAUGGCGCCGCCGGCGGAUUCAUUGAAGGAGCGGAUGGUGGGCUUGCGGCAACCACACGUGAUGACCCCGGGCUUGACUCGUCCACAGUGAAAGCCGAUCCGGCGAUCCACAGUGCAAAGUUGAUGUAUUUCCUCAGCGACCAACACGGAUCAGCUCCAGGCAUGAUGAAGUGGAUAUCGUCCUCUUUUGGAAGGCCAAAAAAAGUAGUUUACACUUUCACAAUGAAACACAACAUCUAUGCGACAUGGCGGCGGCAACAACAAUACUACAGCGAGAAUCAAAGUUAUGCCUUAUUUCUUUGCAUGAACAUUUGGGCGGUGUUAUGCAAAUCUUCCCACACAGUCACGUAGACAUAUGAUGGUGUGUUUAAACGAGGUGUUUUAGGAGGGUGUGGUUGACUCUUAACUUUUAUAAAGAAUAUCUCUUUGGAUUUGAGACUUUAGUCUUUGCAACUUUACAGAUCUUCUUUAUGCACCAAGAGCUUGUAACACUCCAAAGAGAAAGGAAGAGUUGAAAUCGCAUCAUAUGACCCCUUUAAAUUCCCAGUGAAAGACUACACUACCCAUAAUCCUCAAGCGAGAUGCAUUAAUUUCUCAUUAUUACCAUGGCAACUGGAACGGCACAAAAUAAAUAAAUAAAUAAACAGAUAAAAUAAAAUAAAUAAAUAAUUGUGUGUAAUUAUAUUAAGAGUUUUAUAUUGUAUAACUGUUUCUGAUUUGAUAUUGUCAUUGGCAGUGCUCCUAGGGAUUAAAGUUCAUUCUGACAAGUUCAGUUUUUAUUUAUUUAUUUUUUUAUAUACUUUUUUGUUUUAAAUGAAAAUGUGCAGUAUUUUGAUUUAUCU
ensembl:lncRNA